rnacentral:misc_RNA from 1 species
GUAUUUUAUUAAUGCCAUUGUUAGCACAAGCACAUUCAAUAUUAUAAUCAGCGUAUAUGUGAAAGAAGAGAGAGAAAACCCAAGAAAUCAACUUGGAAUUUCCCCCUUCUUCAGGAGUGCACAGGUGUUUAGGGAAAAUUGUUGGGGAUGAGCACAUGCAAGGGUACUCGCCAGCAUCAACCCCCAUUACAAUUCAUUAAUGAUCCUUCCGCAGGUUCACCUACGGAAA